rnacentral:rRNA from 1 species
GAUGAACGCUGGCGGCGUGCCUAAUACAUGCAAGUCGAGCGAACAGACGAGGAGCUUGUUCCACUGACGUUAGCGGCGGACGGGUGAGUAACACGUGGAUAACCUACCUAUAAGACUGGGAUAACUUCUGGAAACCAGAGCUAAUACCGGAUAAUAUAUUUAAACGCAUGUUUCAAUAUUGAAAGACGGUUUUGCUGUCACCUAUAGAUGUAUCCGCGCCGCAUUAGCUAGUGGGUAAGUUAACGGUUUACAAAGGCAACGAUGCGUAGCCGACUUGAGAGGGUGUUCGGCCAACCUGGAACGGGACCACGCUCAAGCCUCCUCCGGGAGCAGGAAGAGGGGAAUCUUCGGAAAUGAGCGAAGGCCUGACGGGGAACGGCGGGGUGGGUGAUGAAGGUCUCCGGACGUAAAAACUCUGUUAUUAGGGAAGACCAAAUGUGUAAGUAAAUAUGCACCAAUUGACGGUACCUAAUCAGAAAGGCACGGCUAACUACGUG